rnacentral:rRNA from 1 species
CCUACGGGAGGCAGCAGUGGGGAAUAUUGCACAAUGGGGGAAACCCUGAUGCAGCGACGCCGCGUGAGUGAAGAAGUAUCUCGGUACGUAAAGCUCUAUCAGCAGGGAAGAUAAUGACGGUAUCUGACCAAGAAGCGCCAGCUAACUACGUGCGCGCAGCCGCGGUAAUACGUAGGGGGCAAGCGUUAUCCGGAUUUACUGGGUGUAAAGGGAGCGUAGACGGCAGAACAAGUCUGGUGUGAAAUCCCGGGGCUUAACCCCGGAACUGCUUUGGAAAAAGUGCGGCUGGAGUGCAGGAGGGGUAAGCGGAAUUCCUAGUGUAGCGGUGAAAUGCGUAGAUAUUAGGAAGAACACCAGUGGCGAAGGCGGCUGACUGGACGGUAACUGACGGUGAGGCGCGAAAGCGUGGGGAGCAAACAGGAUUAGAUACCCCUGUAGUC